UUUUCAGGAGGAUCCCUUGGGUAGAUCAAAAUCAGGACACUUCAGGAGAGAAACAACGCAUGAACUUUUCUGGUUCUUACGAUGGAGCUCAAGCAGUGGUUGAACCUCCAAAUCAAGAGAGUCUUGUGUCCUUCGAAGACGUGGCUGUGUAUUUCUCUGAGGAGGAAUGGUCUCAGCUGGAUCCUGACCAAAAAGCGCUGCAUUUGGAAGUCAUGCUGGAAAACCAUAGAAACAUGGUCUCUCUGGGUAAGAGUUUUCUAGUCCCCAAUCAGAGAGUUCAAGAAGACAGAUUAUAGUUAAUUUUCUUUAAAUUAAAAAAUCAUUCCUCAGAUAUCGUCUCCUGGGAACGAGAGGGAAAAGGUCUGGCCUUCUCAUUCUCCAAGGAAGGAAAGAGGUCAAUGUCUCUUUGUUUAUAUGCUUUCUGUGUCAUUUCUUAUCUCUGUUUUUGCAUUUCUAUUGGAACUUAUCUGUGGAGACUGAGAAGAAUGAGGUGUGCUUUUAUGUGUCGUCUGGAAGAAUGUGUUGUGAUGUGUCCUCUGGAACCUCCAAAAAUUACGUGAGAAUAGAACUUUCACGGUCAGGCCAUGGAAGAGCAUGUAAUGCCAGAUCACGCGAGAUCAGUAGUCUGAGAUCUUGCACUACUGAUCUCACGUGAUCUCGCAGUAAAGUAGUUUAUGCCUCAUUUCGCAGAGAACAGAGGCCUAAACUACACUCUAGAUCAGUAGUGCAAUAUCUCAGGGUAGUGAACGUGCGUGAUCUCGCACUAAUUCCUUCUUGGAUGUUUCCCCUGAUUACCGGUGUUUCUUAACUCAAAACUGACUUUGAAUGAGUUUUGCAGUUUGAUCUUUUUCUCUAACCUUGUUAUCAUUUUCAUUUCUUUUCCUUUGAAGGUACUAAUGAGCAGAAGAAUCAAGACUCCUAUGAACUGUUCCAAGUGAUCAAUGCUAAAGAUGAAAUGGAGAACUUUGGAAUUCAAAUGGAAUUAGAAAGCCAUGAGAGAAACCAGUCAAAUAAUUGGAAUCAGGAAAACUCAUCUUCCACUGAUGCUCCGAUACAAGACUUUCAUGCCCAGCAAGAGAAAAUAAGGAAAAAAUAUAUUGGGAAAAGUAUGAAACAAAAAGUAUUAACCCAAAACAAAGGAGAAGAUGCUAUAAGCCAGAAUGGAAAGAAUUACAAUGGGACAUUGAUUCUUUCUCUUCAAAAUAUCUUCCUUACAUCUCAAAAAAUGAUUCACACAAAAAAGGAGCCUUAUAAAUGUUUGGAAUCUGGAAAACAUUUUAGAUCAAGCGAGCAACUUACUUCCCAUGAAAGGAUUCACACUGCAGAGAUACAAUGUUCAGAAUCACCUGUAGCCCAUGCAGCCCAGACCCUCCAAUCAGCAGGAGAGAAACCCUAUAAAUGUAUGGAGUGUGGGAAAGCCUUUACUCAUAGCAGGGAACUUACUCUCCACGAAAAGCUCCACACAGGAGGGAAACCAUAUAAAUGCAUGGAGCGUGGAAAGACCUUU